AAAUCAUCUUUUCACUGUUUUCUUUUACAUGGAUAUGAUUUCAAGCAAGUAAUUAAGGGGAGGUUAACAACUUUAAAAAUCAAUUUUUAUAAAAACUAAACAAAAUGAAUUAUAAUAAUUGAUUGAAUAUUGUUUAAUGUCCCUCUCAAGAAUAUUUCACUCACAUGGAGACCUCAGCACUGCCGGUGAAGGGCUGCAAAAUUUAGGCCUAUGCUUGGCACUUAUAGCCAUUGAGCAGGGAGGGAUCUUUAUCGUGCCACACCUGCUAUGACAUGUGAUCUCAGUUUUUGCGGUCUCAUCCGAAGGACUGCCCCAUUUAGUCGCCUCUUAUGCUCAUAUGACAAGUAAGGGGGUGUUGGGGGGUUUACUGAGGAUCAAUUCUAACCCGGAUCCCCACGGGAUAACAAACAUAAUAGAUGAACAUUUGAUGCUACAGUUUUAAGAGUUUUACUCUAUUAUAGAGGAACUCUCCCUAUAGGUAACACGUGUAUACAUGUUUAAAAGGAAAAUAUAGAAACUAAUGAAAAAUUAAACCACACCUAUGGAACUUGAAAAUUUUGGUCCCAAUGCAGUCAGGUAGGGCUGUGCGGUGCACCGAAAAUUUCGGUGCACCGCGAUUCAUACCAUUCGAUUCGAUGCACCGAUUACAAAUUCCGGAUUUCGGUUCGGUUCGGUUUAGAUUUUACUUACACCAAAACAACAAAUAUGGCGUCCGAGUGAUGUUGAAAACAUGUGGAUUUUUAUGCAACAGAGAUUUAAAUCACUACUGUGUUGAGAGUUAGCAUUUUCACCACUCAUAUACCAACAGAAUAUGGUCCGUAAGAUCAUUGCAGUUUAUCUUUACAUGACAUAAAGCAUUUUUGUCAGUGGUGGAAUGAAAUCAACAUCGUAGGUAAUGAAACAGAUUUGACAGUUAAUAUGAGAGAAGUAAAUCAAUAAAGGAGAGAUUUUCAAAGACUCUCAAUUGAUAGAAUUAUUGAAUUUUUGCAUAUCAAUGAAAGCAAUAUCAUAUACAUUUUAGAUUCACUAUAGAUUUGUUUAAUAAUCCAAAACUUAUGUAGCACAUUGAUAUAACAAAUUUUGAUAGACUGUCAGUGUUUUCUUUUUUCUAUCAAAGUUAUAAAAUGUCAUUAUGAAUAGAUAUGAUGUUUACAAAUGACGACAUAUAGUUAUAUAACUUGAAUAAAAUCAAAUCAAAUAUGCUACUCAUUAAAAUUGUUAAUUUUUGUGGUGUCAUUAGAUAAAUUGGACCUAACAUGAACCGAAUCGAAAAUAACCGAACCGUGCUGUUCUGAAUCGAAACCGAACCGAAUCGAGCUAACCCUGAAUCGUCCCAGCCCUACAGUCAGGGCUCGCGCUGCCCAUCGCAUUGUCGCAUUUUGCGAUUUUUCAGGAAAAAAUGCGACAGAAAUUCCGGAAAUGAGACACGGACAUUUCGUAUUUUAGAAAUCGCGGCGCCAUCUUGGAUUUCAGCUGUUGGCAUCCAAACAGCCUCAGGGCUGUUUUACCUGUGCAGAAUGUGGAUACCCUGCCACAUGGGAACAAUAGACGUAGGGGUGUCUUGUUUAUUUAGCAGUUUACACAAGACAAAAGGUUGAUCCUCUGUGUGCAGACUUCCCGAGUUCCCUUCUCUACAACAUGAUGAUAUUUACUGAAGGACUGCCUUGCCAUUCAAGAUUUCAAGAUGAAAACAGGAUUCUUCAGUGAAUUCUUUGAAGAAUGUGAUGUUGUGAAACUAUGAUGAUGUGUUAUGUAUUACAGUAAUUAAUCUUCAGUAACUUUGUCAUCAGUGACUUUUUAUAGACUGCAAAUUUAAUGUUAAUGAUGAGUAUUAUAUGUCAUUUGCACUACUAACAUGAUUAAUAAACAUAUUGAAACUCUU